UACGUAGGGUGCAAGCGUUGUCCGGAAUCAUUGGGCGUAAAGAGCGUGUAGGCGGCCCGGUAAGUCCGCUGUAAAAGUCAAAGGCUCAACCUUUGAAUGUCAGUGGAUACUGCCGGGCUAGAGUCCGGAAGAGGCGAGUGGAACUCCUGGUGUAGCGGUGGAAUGCGCAGAUAUCAGGAAGAACACCAACGGCGAAGGCAGCUCGCUGGGACGGUACUGACACUGAGACGCGAAAGCGUGGGGAGCGAACAGG
rnacentral:rRNA from 1 species